UUGAAAACCCCUAAUAUUGUCCACUGUCCUCACUUUACCGACGAGGAGAGAAAAGUGAUUUGCUCUAAGCCACACAGACUCUCCCCUGUCUGUUGAGAGUAAAGGAAAGCAUGGACUCUGCAGGUGGAUAAAACUGUGUUUGAAUCCUGGUUCUGGCAUUUAACGAAGUUCUCUCAGCCUCAGUUUAGUAAUUUGAGAAAUGAGAGUCAUCACAUCUCCCUUAUCAAGUUUUGUAAACAAAAGAACUAAUGAAGUGGCAGGAAGACUCUGAGUGUUCAGGUGCUGGUUGUCAGGGCAACCUGGAGAUGGCACAGUGGUCAGAACAGGGGCUGGGAAGCCACGAGACAGAUCUAUGUUCAAAUCCUGGCACUUCCUUGCCCAGCUGUGUGACUGUGGGCAGGUCAUUUCAAUUCCCAAGCUCUAAUUCUUCAUCUGCUUAAGUGGCUUGCUUCCUUGCUUCCAGGUGUGUUGGGAGGCCCAGACCAGAUGAAGCAUGCAAAGUGCUUACCACGUUGCAUGGGACCUAACAGAUGCUCCACAAGCACCUGCUUCUUUCCAACUUCUGUGGCACCUUGUUUGGGGAACUGCUGCAGAGAUGUUCCUGUAAGCACCCAGGGUGCAUGGACCAGAGACCUCCCCUCCUCCAGGGCAUGCAAUGCCAAGAACGCUUGGGAGGUGCACUCGCACCAGCAAGAAGCAGGUCUGGGUGAUGAGUGUAGCGUGACUUAGAAGCCCCCACCUCACAGCUCCUUCAGAAAGAAUGUAUUGCAUGACUGCACUUUUUAUCUUUUUUUUGAGAAGGGGGUAAAAAAUAAAGGCAAGAACUUCAAGGUCAGGUUCACUUCCCUGCAGGCUCCUCCUGGGCUGAAGUGAAAUUUCAAGAAUGCAGCCUCUGGGCCCAGUUUACAUUCCCACCCUCUCUGGUAUCCAGGAUACCAGAGGGACCUGUCGCAUUCCAUCCCACCAAUCAGCCUCCUCAGCCACAUCCUGCUGGGGGCAGGGCCCGCCACGGGUUCUUGGGAGAAGCAUCACUGCCUUGGCAGGAGGGUCAUCCGUUCAUUCAUUUGUGCAGCAUAUACGUUCAGAGCUUACUGGAGCCAGGCCCUGGGGGUACGGUUUUAUAGGAAAACAGCCCAAGUCCCUGCUCCGGGGGAACUUGCAGUGCAGUGAGGAGCCAGCCAGAAAUACUGCGAGUUCUAUGAAGUGGCCGCAUACAGUGGCAUGAGAUUGUAUACAGGCGGUCUGACCUACUCAGCAAUGUUAGAGGAGGCUUCCUGGAGUAAGUGAGGACUGAGCUCAGGACUGAAGGCCACACCAGUACCGAGCUGUUUCUGGACCGAUGUUGCUCCAGAGUAGUCUCUCCAUGUUGCAAAGAUCACAGAGGUGCUGCCUAUCAUCAUUAGGAACCUGAUAAAACAUCUGGUCUUGCAUCAAGAUCACUGCAGGAAGGAGAGCCACCCUCCCAUGGCACCUCUGUUGCAAAAUGGGCACCUUCCUCCAUUUCUAGAAGGGAGUCUAUAGAUGUUUAACAUUAUACACAGGAGACAUGCUCAAAAAACAUUUGAGGAAAGAAGAGAGACAGGGAAAGAAGGGGACAAGAACAUAGUUAAUUUGCUAGUGAGUAGUUUCUCUGAACACUCAUGAGCCUCAUGGAGUUCUUGGUCUUGUGAACAUGGAAGUACUAGCUGGCUUUCAGCCUGAUGAGAAGGAUAACCAGACCUGGCUACCCCACAUCUGGGUUCCCCCACUCCAAGAUCUGGAAGUCAGGAGGCCCAAGAUAUGGUUGAGACUCUAAAGAUUUCUCCUCCUUUUUUAAAGAAAAAAAUUGGAGAAAAUAUAAUGAAAAAUAAAAAAACACAAAAGUCCAUAAACACAGGCAACAAAAACUUUUCCCUCCUCACCCAGAGACGCAAGCCCCUAAAGGAACAUGGAAGUGGAGAUUUCCUGUGUGUCCUUCCAGAAAUAUUUUCCUUAAAAAACAACAACAACAACAACAACAUUUGUUUCUCUCAGAAAGAGAGAGA